rnacentral:lncRNA from 1 species
ACACCUGUAAAAUGAACAUAAUGUCCUUGAACUACAUUUUCCCCAGGUUAUGAAGAUGAAAAUGACACAUGGGACAACAUGGUACGGGAGCCAGAGACCAGUUUAGGAGCCAAGAAUAAGAAAUGGACAGAACACUGCCCUCUUGGAUUCAGGUGGCACUUUGAACCAAAUCAAUAUGCAUUUACACCAAAUGAUAAUUGGUGAUUAUUUAUUUUACAACAAGAUGAUGAUGAGUCCUUUAAAAAACAAAGAAACUACAAACCCCAAGAUUGGUUGAUGAUAGAAGCAGAAUCCGUAAAGAUCUUGUCCAUUUCCUGUGACACCAAUUUUUCUGGUUCUUCAAAUGGGAACAUGGCCCACCUGCAUCUAUUAAGGAGAGAACCCAGUCUCCCAGACAUGAAUGUUUGUUCAAGUCUGAGAUUGAGCUUUUAGCUUUCAGGUCCUCUCCAGUCCGUACAUGAAGAAUACCCUUCGGAGGGCUACUUUUUCCCAUUGCCACUUGUACUGGCAGGCAGGCAUCCCCAGAGAGUGGCUGAGGAGCUGGCGUUUUUUCUUGGGCUUUUGUCUAACUACAAAUCUGUAAUCUCUACUCUCUUAAAAGGUUGCUCUAAGGUUUCCAGGCUUAUUGAGAAAUUCCCCAUCAAGCAGCUGAGUGGUCUACUGUCCCUCCUGUUAAGAUUUUGUUUUUCUAUGAAGGGAUGGAUAAUCUCUCUUAUCCCUGGGGCUUCUCUGGCUAGAAAGCUGCCUUUGGCUUCUCCUUAUGUAGUGCUACUAAAGGUUUCAGGUAUGUUUACCCAUGUUCCUGCUGACUUUUCUGGUGGGAUG